GAUUGCUUCCCCUUCUGCCAUGAUCGGAAGUCUCCUGAGACAUCCCCAGCCAUGUGGAACUAAUCUUAUCAUAUCUGGAUACUUGAAACAUCCCACAGAACAUCAAGUGGUCUGCUAUAUUAAAGACAUAAUGCAGAGCAAAAAAGACUAGCACACUAGAAGUCUUGGAAGAGAAGCACUCUGGAAUCCUAGAAGAACUACUUAAACUUCUGCAGAAGGAAGUGGAUCUUAGCAACAUAAGAAUCAACUAUGGUAGUACCUGUGAUGCCCCCUCCUGAAAAAAGCCAGCACUAAUUUGAAGUGACGAAGCUCAUAGGGCACAGAAUUUAAGGAGAUACACCCUCUCAAGGUCAUAUGAAUGAGCAUUUCCUUGAAUUUUUUCCUUAGGCACUUCAGUCGAUUCACCCUAGUCCCUGCUUGUUCCAGAAUUGUCUUUCAAAAUGGAAGAUUUAUCCCUUAGCUACUGGGAGUGUUGUUAGAAGAAAAUCUUUAUCUAAGCAAUCCUUAGGAUGGGCUUUGGUUGAAAAAGUGGCCAUCCAAAAGUCAUAACCGCUACCAUUGGCAGCCCAUAACCCAAAACUACUGAUCAACUAAAAAAUGUAAAUGCCUGGCUUCCUCUCCCCAAAUCAGGACAAUUCUGUUGGGCCAUCUCAACAUCAAAGCUUACUGUGAGGUGGCUGAAAGCUUCACUGGGACUGCAUCACAGCUCAACAUUUUCUUCAUCUUAAUACUGCUUCCUUACCCUCUGCACAUGUGUUCAUCACAAGAGAAAUUUCUAAUUACUUUCCUUUUCACUAACCUGUAUUUCAGAGUCUACUUCUUGGAGGAAAUCUUGUGAAACCAAAAAUAAAUAACAAAUACAUUAUGUUGUUCUGUUAAUAAUUUUCAGGAGUUUAAGGCGA
rnacentral:lncRNA from 10 species